GUAGUCAUAGAAGGGAGACAUGUUUGGCAUCUCCCCUAACAGUGCAGGGAACAGCCUUUGGCCUUACCAGUUACCAGCGCCUAUGGUUGAGGCUCCCAACUCCUCAAGGUGGAUCUUUUAACCAAAUCCUCUC